GACGAACGCUGGCGGCGUGCCUAAUACAUGCAAGUUGAGCGCUGAAGGUUGGUACUUGUACCAACUGGAUGAGCAGCGAACGGGUGAGUAACGCGUGGGGAAUCUGCCUUUGAGCGGGGGACAACAUUUGGAAACGAAUGCUAAUACCGCAUAAAAACUUUAAACACAAGUUUUAAGUUUGAAAGAUGCAAUUGCAUCACUCAAAGAUGAUCCCGCGUUGUAUUAGCUAGUUGGUGAGGUAAAGGCUCACCAAGGCGAUGAUACAUAGCCGACCUGAGAGGGUGAUCGGCCACAUUGGGACUGCGACACGGCCCAAACUCCUACGGGAGGCAGCAGUAGGGAAUCUUCGGCAAUGGACGAAAGUCUGACCGAGCAACGCCGCGGGAGUGAAGAAGGUUUUCGGAUCGUAAAACUCUGUUGGUAGAGAAGAACGUUGGUGAGAGUGGAAAGCUCAUCAAGUGACGGUAACUACCCAGAAAGGGACGGCUAACUACGUG
rnacentral:rRNA from 1 species